ACAUAUUGACACAUGAUUUGCUACGUCAUGUGCUUAGUUCUUUUUUAAGUUUUAAGAUUUACACGGGUGCAAAAUAAAACACAAAUAUACAUGGCCGCUGUUCAACCAGAGAAGAGAGUUUAUUCCCAAGAGACUUAUUCUAUAGACAAGACCCCCAUAGACUAUAUAUUAUAUAAACUAUAAUCAUUACACCUACAACAC
rnacentral:misc_RNA from 1 species